rnacentral:rRNA from 1 species
ACAUCCUGUACAUCCCGCACAUAGUUUGCAACCAUUACCCAUUGCUACGAUUUCAGGUUUCAUAUUCUCACCUCCUUACAACCAUAUUUUAUUUCAUUCUUAAUUUAAUUACAUGAGUAAAUACUGCAAAUUUACAAAAAAAUAAAGGCAGUCCGAAGACUGCCGAUAUUUAUCUCUCAGCACCUUUGCUAUGGUCUUUCUUGUUUGAUUUAGUUUUGUCAUCUGUCUUAAAGCUUUUUAUUUGCCCUAAUAUGGACUUUUUAUCCUUGUCUUGACUCUUUACUUGUUCUUUUGCUUUUAAGAGCUUAGAAGACAAAAUACGAACAUUUUUAUGUUCUUUCCCGUUGUUAUCAAUACUUGUUUUUUCUUGCCCAAAUAUUUUAACAAAAUCUCCUUGUUUUAGGUUCUCUAGAUCUUUUGUCUUGUCUAUAAUAUUCCAGACAGUGUCUGGAAUAUUACAUCUCAUUAAUUCUAUUUGAUAAAAUUACAACUACACCAAGAACCUUAUCAAACUUCAAAUGCCGGCUAAUUGAUGUGCAGCAGUCAGACAGUGUGAGAUAAGUUUCAUUGUCGAGAGGGAAACAGCCCAGACCCACAGCUAAGGUCCCAAAUAUAUGCUAAGUGGAAAACGAUGUGGGGUUGCGAAAACAACCAGGACGUUGGCUUAGAGGCAGCCACUCAUUGAAAGAGUGCGUAAUAGCUCACUGGUCGAGUGACCCUGCGCGGAAAAUAUAACGGGGCUAAGCAUAUAACCGAAGCUUGGGAUGUCUUUUAGACAUGGUAGGGGAGCGUCGUAUACGGGGUGAAGUACGAGCGGAAGCACGUGUGGACUGUAUACGAGUGAGAAUGCCGGAAUGAGUAGCGAGAAUUAUGUGGGAAUCAUAAUGGCCGAAAAUCUAAGGUUUCUUGGGGAAGGUUCGUCCGCCCAAGGUAAGUCGGGAGCUAAGGCGAGGCCUGACGGCGUAGUCGAUGCACACACGGUUGAAAUUCCGUGACCACCGAAAGAUUUAAGCGAGCUGACACAUGGAGAUAGCCGGACCCCGGCGUUGGUCGACCGGGGCGAAAGGGACCGAACAUCAGUAGGGAAGCCGGCGAUGCUCUGUGGCGAGAAAAGGCUCGAGGUACAUCUGAGGUGCCCGUACCGCAAACCGACACAGGUAGAUGAGGAGAGAAUCCUAAGGCCAGCGGGAGAAGGGUUGUUAAGGAACUCGGCAAAUUGACCCCGUAACUUCGGGAAAAGGGGAGCCUGCUACGGCAGGCCGCAGAGAAUAGGCCCAAGCGACUGUUUACCAAAAACACAGGUCUCUGCUAAAUCGAAAGAUGACGUAUAGGGGCUGACGCCUGCCCGGUGCCGGAAGGUUAAGAGGAGGGCUUAGCGCAAGCGAAGGUCUGAAUUGAAGCCCCGGUAAACGGCGGCCGUAACUAUAACGGUCCUAAGGUAGCGAAAUUCCUUGUCAGGUAAGUUCUGACCCGCACGAAUGGCGUAACGAUUUGGGCACUGUCUCAACAGCCCGCCCGGCGAAAUUGUUGUACUGGUGAAGAAGCCAGUUACCCGCAACUAGACGGAAAGACCCCAUGGAGCUUUACUGCAGCUUAAUACUGAAGAUUGGUAAUGCAUGUACAGGAUAGGUGGGAGCCUGAGAAACAGGGGCGUCAGCUUCUGCGGAGGCAGCCUUGGAAUACCACCCUUGUAUUGCUGGUUUUCUAACCUGCGGCCGUGAAUCCGGUCGGGGGACACUGUUAGGCGGGCAGUUUGACUGGGGCGGUCGCCUCCAAAAGAGUAACGGAGGCGCUCAAAGGUUGGCUCAGCACGGACGGAAAUCGUGCAAAGAGUGCAAACGCAGAAGCCAACUUGACUGCGAGACCGACGGGUCGAGCAGGUACGAAAGUAGGAGUUAGUGAUCCGGUGGUAUGUGAGUGGAAAUGCCAUCGCUCAACGGAUAAAAGCUACCCUGGGGAUAACAGGCUGAUCUCCCCCAAGCGUCCACAGCGACGGGGAGGUUUGGCACCUCGAUGUCGGCUCGUCACAUCCUGGGGCUGAAUUAGGUCCCAAGGGUUCGGCUGUUCGCCGAUUAAAGUGGCACGCGAGCUGGGUUCAGAACGUCGUGAGACAGUUCGGUCCCUAUCUGUUGCGGGCGCAGGAGAUUUGAAGGGAGCUGUCCCUAGUACGAGAGGACCAGGAUGGACAGACCUCUGGUGCACCAGUUGUCGUGCCAACGGCACAGCUGGGUAGCUACGUCUGGACGAGAUAAACGCUGAAGGCAUCUAAGCGUGAAACUCCCCCUAAGAUAAGAUCUCCCAUCCGAAAGGAGUAAGGGACGACGUGGACUAUGUCGUUGAUAGGCCGGAGGUGUAAGCACGGUAACGUGUUCAGCUGACCGGUACUAAUAACCCGAGGGCUUGACCU